CAAUGAGGUUGAGUUCGGACAAGUUGGUGAGGUCAUGACCACUGAGACUGACGCAAACACAGAAGUAGAUGUCAGCCAGAGUCACACCAACAACACAACCCCUCUGUAUCCUCCGACCAAUGAGUUUCAUGUCUUCAUAACGCCACACAAAUUGAAUGGCGAUAAUUAUGUGCAGUGGUCGCAAUCAUUGCUGAUUCAUCUUGCGC
rnacentral:lncRNA from 1 species